CCCGCCCAGCCCAGGUCCCAACCCGCACUGGCUGUCGUCGGCCGCGCACUCCUCCUCCGGACACAGCCCAGGGGUGCCAUGGCGUUGCGGGCCGACUGCAGUCCCAGCUCCCGCCUCCAGGCGUGAAAACGCUGGUAUCCGGAGUGACUAAGGCACCCAGGGCCGUUUGUCACAGGCUGCUGCAGCUUCAGCUCAGGGGUGGAGAGAGGCUGAAUGGGCCACUGGGACUGCCAGAAGGGCAGAGGGCAGCAUGGUCACCCUCCACCCGACCCGGAGCACAGGGAACCAGGCAGGUGUCUCUCACAGUGAAGAUCAGAGGCCCACACCUGCCUUACAGAAAUGAGAACCUGACUCAACACAGGGGCUCUGUGUAGUUCUCCGGGAAGGAAACUUGAGCGUGCCCCUGGUGCCCGCCCUAUGUCCAGGCAGCUCCACCUGCUCGGCUCAGUCUCCUGCUGAGACUCUUGCUGAGGCUAGGAUAUCAGGCAGGUGGGAGGGUCAGCCCCAACAGUGACCCAGUGAGAUAGGUGUCAUUGUUCCCAGUAUCCAGAUGGGGAAACUGAAUCAUCAGCAUGGCCUGGCAGAGCUGGGAUCCGAGUGGGCCGUGAGUUUCCUCCUGUACUCCAACCUGGUGAGGCGCUAGGCAGUCAUCUGCUUGCUCUGUCCCAGCUCCCGACCCCCUCCCCUGUGACAAUGAAGUCAGGAAGUCUCAAUGUGAAGGAACUCUAUGCAUCCUCUUGCUCUGUGGCAGCUGUAUCUCAGCCUUCCUGGGGUUAUCUACCAGCAUUUCUGACUAUUGGCCUUCCCAGCAUGAGUGUCUGGGGCUCCCUGUGGAAAACACAUGGACUACCCUACUGGGCACCAGCAACUGGCCACCCUGGCUUCUGACUCCCUUAGGUGACCCCUGGCAGCAUGUGUCUGCUCAGCUCAGAACCAAGCCCAGACAAGUGUCCUCAGGGCUGGGCUCCUGCCUCUUGCUGCUCCUGGGCUGUGCCAGUGUCCAGGCACUGUGACGGUGCAGGGUGCCCCUCAUUAUGGCUUGUAUCCACCCGAAAGCAGAAGCAUGGAAAGCCCCCUGACACACUGCAGCAGUCACCCAGCAAUGCCUGCGGCAAAGCACACUCACGAAGCUGUCGUCCAGAGUUCUGCUGCAGCCCUGCGUUGGCUAAUGGCUGAGGGAACCCGCAGAACAAGCUGGCGUCUCCCGCUGCCCAUUCCCAUGCUCUUUGGCUCUCUGGCUCCUGACAGCCUGGGAGCAUCACCCACUUACACACUGCCACCUUCCAGUCAGGAGACCCUAGGGGGCAGAGGCCCACCGAACGGGUGGCUCCAGCACAUGGACACUGUGGCUGGCCCUGGCUUCCCACACCUGUGGUCCUCUCCUGCAGUGCAAUGGUCUCAGCAGGUCUCCUCGACCAGCCUCUCCUGGGUGUGCGCUGAGCCCCACUUAGCUGGCUGCAGCGCGGGAGGGUUCACAGGCAGGGGAAGCGCACAGUCCUCUGCGAGCGCCAUGGGGAAGUGCAUCUCCUCUGAGUCCUUGGAAUGCGUGAGCUUGGUGACUUCUGUCUUUGCAGACCACUUCUUCCACCCCUUCUGGAUUCUGGACACUUCUUGCCGAGAAUGGUCUGUGGCCAGCACGUAGAUGAUGGGGUCAGCCACGCUGUUGACGGUGGACAGGCAGAGGAACACCAUGGACACCGUGUACAGGCUGGCUUCAAAGGCGCACAUCGCAACCUUGUCUCCUCUGUAGUAGGAGAAGGUGGCCGCUUCGAUGAGAAGAACCACAUGGUAGGGGGCGAAGCAGACCAGGAAGAUGACCACCACUGCUAUGGCUGAGUGCUUCACCUUGGCCUUCUGGGCAGCGGUCAGGCCCAUGCUCAGCUUGAUGCUCCUGAAGAUCCGGUGGUUAGUGAACGCUAUGGUGCAGAGAGGGAUGGCGAACCCCACUGCAAACCGCGCGUAGUGGUAGCCUGCAAUCUUUUCAUUCAUCCGCAUGGGCUCGAAGCAGCUCUCCUUCUCUAUUUCCAUGUCAAACACUGGGUAGUAAACAAGCCCCACGAGGACAAAGACACACACCGAAAUGAAGACGGCAGUCUUCUGGAGGCGCCGGCCGCGGCUCUCCAGUGCAUACACCACUGCCAGGAAGCGGUCACAGGAGAUGCAGCACAGUAAGAGGAUGCUGAUGUAGAUGUUGCAGAAGAAGAUGUAGGCGGUCACCUUGCAGGCCCGGGGGCCCAGGGUCCAGCGGUGCUCAUUCUGGAUGUAGAUGAUCCAGAGCGGCAGUGUGCUCAGGUAGAGCAGCUCACAGAGCGCCAGACAGAAGAGGUAGACGGCCAGCACGUUGCCCUGCAGAGCCUGCAGUAGCGUCAGCCACGCGGUCAGGCAGUUGGCCGGCAGGCCCAGCACACACACCGCGCUGUACACCACCACCAGGACCACUCUGCUCUCCUCGAAAGGUGCGUUGCAGAGCCCAGCAGACGGUCCCGGGACUGCCUGAGAGAGCGGGGUGGUCACUGGGGUGGCAUUUCCUGUGGGGCAGAAACAAGAGUGAGAUUUGCAGAGCCAAGAGAAAGUGAAAGGCCCACCAGGUGCUUAGACAAUUUCCAGAGGGAUUAUUGAAAGAGAUCCUUAGAUCCUGGAUGUCCAACCCAUUGACCUCACCGACAAGAACACAGGCUGUGCAAGAUGCACUCUUUGCAACUCAUCCAAGUCAGUUUUUAAACUGCAUGUCUGAAGAGGAUGUUUGUGUCUGUUUUCUGACAGCUGAGGAAGAGCCCUUCUGAGUACCCCAUCAACAGUGUCUGGAGUUAGGUGCUCACUGCUUCUCUCCUCCAGCCUCGAUCUUGCUCUGGCCCCAGCCCCUGCCCUGACUUGGGCACUGUCUCAUCCUUACACAUAGUUUUAUCUCUUCUUUGCCUUUUUGACUCUCAGUUACAAAGAAAGAUAACUAACCGUCCCUGUCAUGAUGAUAGAUUCAUCCACUUCUCCUUUUAGGUCUUUCAAGAUUUGCUUCCUAUAUUUGAUGCUUUUGUUAAUUAGUGCCUAGAAAUUAAAACUCGUUCUGUUUCUGGUGAGUUGA